rnacentral:lncRNA from 1 species
CCUGCAGCAUGUGGAAGUUCCUGGGCCAGGGAUCAAACCCUCAGAGCAGUUGCAACCUGCACCAUAGCUGCAGCAAUGCCAGAUCCUUAACCUGCUGUGCCACUCGGGAACUUCCAAUGAUGGCGUCUUCAUUUUGACAAACGUGCCAUGGCCACAUGAGCUGCGAUCACGAGGGGCAACUGGGUGAGGCCACAUAGGAACUCUCUCAUCUUUGCAACUAUUCUGUAAACCUAAUGUUAUUCCAAAAUAAAAUGCUUAUUUUUAAAAAGAGGGUUUCUGGAUUCUGGACCCCAGGGACUGACUCUCCUGAGAAAGAGGAAGAGGAUGGGGGGGCGUGUCAAGAAGGGGAGCCAGCCUGGGCCCCUGGGCCCGGGAUCCGUGCUCUGGUGGAAAUCACGCCAUGUCUGCUAAAAUCUCUGACAGGCUCAGGCGGAAAAGCAGGAUGUUGGACUUUGAGGUUGGGUUCAUUCCCAACCAAGCCUCCUCACAUUUUCCCAAAGGUUCCCAGAGAGUGAACCUGCAGCCAGGGAGGUCUGAAAAUACAGCAAAAAGCCUUCACUGAAGCGUUAUUUAAAAAAAAAAAAAAAAAAAAAAAUCUUAGGAAGUUCCCGUCGUGGCGCAGUGGUUAACGAAUCUGACUAGGAACCAUGAGGUUGCGGGUUCGGUCCCUGCCCUUGCUCAGUGGGUUAAGGAUCCGGCAUUGCUGUGAGCUGUGGUGUAAGUUGCAGACGUGGCUCAGAUCCCGCGUUGCUGUGGCUCUGGCGUAGGCUGGUGGCUACAGCUCCGAUUCGACCCCUAGCCUGGGAACCUCCAUAUGCUGCGACAGCGGCCCAAGAAAUAGCAAAAAAGACAAAAAAAAAAAAAAAAAAAAUCUUAAAAAUGCAUGCCAAUACUGCAUUCUACUCCAAAACAGUACCUUUUAAUUUUACUAGAAAAGUCCCCCACUGUAUUUCCCACGGCAGUCUUGUGCCCUGGGAUGAAAUGCUCAAACACUAAAAAAAAAGCAUGAAGCCUCAAAAGUGUGGACAAGCCAGAGAGUUCCCGUUGUGGCUCAGCUGUAACAAACCCGACUAGUAUCCGUGAGGAUGUGGGUUUGAUCCCUGGCCUUGCUCAUUGGAUUAAGGAUCCAGUGUUGCUGUGGCUGUGGUGUAGGCCGGCAGCUAUAGCUCCAAUUGGACCCCCGAGCCUGGGACCCUCCAUAUGCUGCACCUGCAGCAAUCCCCUCAAAAAAAAAAAAGCUGACCUGGAGAGAGCGGGGGAGAAAGGACUGGGCCAUCAGAAUAACGCAGCUGGAGAUGGGGGAAGUGGCCCCUGGGCCAAGACGAGCUGGCUACACACUCUGCCCGGGGCUCACAUGUCUUCAUUCAUUGUUUCAUUUAUUUUUCUCACGUACUCGUUCUUUGUACAAAUAUUUAUGUGCCUACUCUGUGGCCAUGGGUGCACUGUUCCAGGCGGCUAAACCAGGGAACAAGACGCACAGACAGCCUCAUAGGUUAAUGGGAAGAGAUAGAGGAAAUAAAAUGAGUAAAGAAAAUGGGGAGUGUGUUAGAAAAAUCAGCAAGCAGGGAGGGGGACAAAAUCAACAAGCAGGGAGGGGACAAUUUUCAGCAGGGUGGGAAGGCCUCUCUGAGAGACACUGAGUAAAGAUGAAAGGAAAGGAGGCAGCUUUGCAGAUGCUUUGUCAUUUAUUUUUCACAACUGUGGGAGGUAAUCAUUCGCUGCUUUACAGAUGAGAAAAGUGAGUCUAAAAGAGGUAACACGACUUACUUAAGGUGACCUAGGACACAACAGGGAAAUUGGGGGAGAGCCUAAGAGCGAAACCUGGCCCUUCAGUUCCUCUGCAAGAGGGCGACCAGGAACACCCCUCCACCCUGCACCCCUGUCCCCAGGCCCCGGCAGACACCACUCUUUGCUGGACUCCAUCCCACCUCUCUCCCUUGCUGAAGCCAGAUUUCCAAAUCCUCUGAAGAGUCACGGCAAUCAACAGGGCUUCACUGCACCCCUAGCCUACACAUACCUUAUUGUUUGUUUGUUGGUUGGUCUUUUUAGGGCCGUACCUGUGGCACGUGGAAGUUCCCAGGCUAGGGGUUGAAUCAGAGCUGCAGCUGUGGGCCUACACCACAGCCACAGUGAUGUCAGAUCCGAGCCACAUCUGCAACCCACGCCGAAGCUUGUGGCAACGCUGGAUCCUUAACCCACUAAGUGAGGCCAGGGAUCGAACCCAUAUCCUCAUGGAUCCUAGUCAUGUUCUUAACACACUGAGCCACAAUGGGAGCCCCCCCCGCCCCAUAUACCUUCUUAACUUGAACAGGUUAAAGAGCCGUUAAAGGGUAGAAAGACUGGCAUGCCCCCUGAGGGCACUGGGUGGGCAGAGAAAGGUGUGAGGGAUCAGGCUUGGUCCAGGGGAGGGAGCUCCUAAGUGCUCAGCUUAGCGCAGUGCUCCUGAUCGCUGUCCGAGCUGCGUUUUACUGGCUUAACUGGGACACUGGGACUGGCUGCCUCAUCCAAGAGUCGCCCUGGGAUCCCUCCCGCCAUGGCCAGGGCAGGCUUCAAGGCUGAGAAACAAGCCUGGAGGGAACCAAGCUGGGCUCUCCCACUCCCACGCCUUUUCCCUUCUCUUCACAUAAAGAGAAACAUUUCAGAGUUGAAGAAAUGACUCAUGUUCCCCCAGAGAGGGCCAGGGCUGGGCUGAGUCAGGCUGGAAGAGCCCUCGGGGCACUGAUCUGCCUGUCUGCGCUGCCCAACAGGGCUCUGGGCCCCAGGAAGCGGGGACAAAUGCAGGCGGAGGUGGCGGAGACAAGGGGCUGUGGAGGGUGCCUGGCUUUCCUCACCCAACCUUGAGCGUGUCACUGGGUGUCACCCGGCACUGCCCAAAUGGAACCUGAUAGAGAAGAAAAAUUCCUCUGGACUUUCCUGAAUGAGCUUUACGGCUGACUCACCGGCACCUGGGGACGAGCAAGAAAACUCACAAAUCACCAAAGAAGGGAAAAAAAACCCUCUUCAAUGAUGGCAUCUGGGAUCAAGGGCAGAAAUGCUCCCUCACAUUUUGCUCCAGGUUUUGUCCUUCAGAGAAACACUUUACACUCAGACAGGGAUGAAGCCGGUGGCCAAGUGUGGUUUUAUACGUCAAAUUCUCUUUCUCUGUUAGCUGGCAUCGACACUUAGAGAAUGAUAAUCUGAACCACGCACUGGCUGCAGGCCUAUCCACCUGGCGCAGAAAGCCUGUUCCCCACCCCAGCCCCUCCCCUAUUCCAGCUGAGAGCAGAGGGUCCAGACAGCCAGGGUCUCUGCCCUCCAGGGCUUUUGCUCCAGGGCAGAGAAGUAACAAUCCCUUAAACAAUGUGGGUACCUGAUGUGGGUACCCAGAGGACAGAACAGUGCCAGCCCCUCGUCCAGCUCGAAAACUGCUGCCUGACUCUUCUCCAAAGGGGACCACCUGCUUCUCUCCAGAGACCCCCAGUUGGGGUUCCCAAGCAAUUUCUCAUCCUCCUCAGCUGGCCUCCUCUCCCUUCACUGCUUAAAGCCCCUCUGAGCCAUAAGCCCACCCAGCCUCAGCCCUGAAGUCAGAUGCUCCAGAGGAGCCUACAAAACACUCUUGACUCUGGAGUUACUGGCUCUAAGUGGUGUAGCCUUGGCCAAGUCACCUUGUCUCCCAGGCCUCAGCUUCCUCAUCUGUUAAAUGGGGGCACAAUAGGACCCACCUCUCUUCUUUCUUUCUUUUCCUUUCAUUCACUCACUCCUUCUUUCAUUCAUUCAUUCAGUUAUAUAUCUUUUUAGGGCUGUGCCUGAGGUAUAUGGAAGUUCCCAGGCUAAGGGUUGAAUCAGAGCUGCAGCUGCUGGCCUACACCACAGCCGCAACAAUGCUAGAUCAGAGCCACAUCUGUAACCUAUACCACAGCUUUCAGCGAUCAUGGUUCCUAACCCGCUGAGUGAGGCCAGGAGUCGAACCUGCAUCCUCAUGGAUACUAGUCAGGUUCUUAACUCGCUGAGCCACAGUGGGAACUACCCAUAGGGCCCACCUCUUUAGAGACUGACUCUGAUGAAAUGAGUCCACUCAAGUGCUGUUUGCCAUGGGGCCAGCUCAAAGUCAAGGCUCACUACGCUGUGGCUCCCACCUCCCGCUCCGUGGACCACACUGGUACGAGGACAAACAGAACAGGUGUCACAAAGAACUGCACCGACACUAGGGAUCAGGGUACUGUCCUCCUGAUGGCAGCCAGAGGCUCAGGAAAUCCUGGCUUCUUUCUUGAAGAAGCCUCUGUGGCUCUUACACCAGCCUACCUCAUUCCCAAACCUGCUGGCUGUCUCCUGCCAGUGCAAUGAUUUCCACAACUGAGCUCCUGCCUAUGCUAUGGGAAGGGGAGUUUCUCUGUCUCGUCCCAAACUUGCUUCACCCUGACCCACAGGACAUUAGGACCAGGGGGCUGAGCUGGUAGCGCCGAGCAUUUUCCCUGUCCCUUCUCUGCCCUCAUCUUUCUUCCGCCCAAUGUUCUGAGUUAACAGGAGCUGCUUCCCAGGCUUGGUUGCCACAGAGCACAUGGUUCUCUGAGCGAAAAUAUUCAUGUGGCAGAGAGGGGCUCAGGAAGGGCCACUAGGUGGGGGGCUGGGAAAAGGGGUGACAGGAGGAAAAGAAGACUUUUUUUUUUUUAUGUCUGUACCUGCAGCAUAUGGAAGUUCCCAGGCUAGGGGUCAAACUGGAGUUAUAACUGCCAGCCUACACCACAGGCACAGCAACGCCAGAUCCGAGCUGCAUCUGUGACCUAUACCACCGCUCAUGGCAACGCCGGAUACUUAACCCACUGAACCAGGCCAGGGAUCAAAUCUGCAUCCUCACAGAGACAAUG